rnacentral:rRNA from 1 species
CAGCCGCCGCGGUAAUACGAGGGGGGCAAGCGUUGUUCGGAUUUAUUGGGCGUAAAGGGUGCGUAGGCGGGCAGGUAAGUCAGUGGUGAAAUCUUCGAGCUUAACUCGGAAACUGCCGUUGAUACUAUCUGUCUUGAAUAACGUUGAGGUGAGCGGAAUAUGUCAUGUAGCGGUGAAGUGCUUAGAUAUGACAUAGAACACCGAUUGCGAAGGCAGCUCACUAAACGCUCAUUGACGCUGAGGCACGAAAGCGUGGGGAUCAAACAGGAUUAGAUACCCCGGUAGUCCCUGUCUCUUAUAC